rnacentral:rRNA from 1 species
GACGAGGGGUCCAAGCGUUGUUCGGAAUCAUUGGGCGUAAAGCGGGUGUAGGCGGCUCUGUAAGUCAGGAGUGAAAGCCCCAAGCUUAACUUGGAAGUGCUUUUGAUACUGCGGAGCUUGAAUGUGGGAGAGGGUAGUGGAAUUCCAGGUGUAGUGGUGAAAUACGUAGAUAUCUGGAGGAACACCGGUGGCGAAGGCGGCUACCUGGCCCAACAUUGACGCUGAGACCCGAAAGCAUGGGGAUCAAACAGG